rnacentral:lncRNA from 1 species
ACAAAACAUAUGGUAAGACCACAUUUGUACAGCAUCCUUAGGGAAUAAGAUAAGUGCAUUUUUUAGGCAACAGACCCUUAACUAAUUGAAUGUCACACAUUUGCAUUUUUUAAAUGCAGUAUAAUUUAUUUUCUAAAUAAUUUCUGAUUUAUUUAAACAUUUAACUAUUUGGUUUUAUGUUUUUAAAAAUUCUAUAAUCAACUUCACAUUUUUUGGGGAAUUAGAUGAGCUUUAAAUUAUAACAGUAGCUCUUACUAUU